rnacentral:lncRNA from 1 species
AUUUGGUAUCUAAUAUGCCCAAAUUACGAACACCACCCCCGCCGUUCUUAAGUUGUCUCUCUGUUCGGCAAUGAAAACACCGGACAUGGGGGCAUAUUUUAAUUUCAAAAGCAUAGGGAUGUUUGGCAAUAGCUCGCGUCAUUUAAAUUUUCUAGUUCUUUGAUGUCUUGUGUUCAAAACACGGGACAGCUCUCUGGAAUCCCUCAAAACCUAGUCCCCCUUUCGUCCCGUCAUUUCUCUUAUCUCUCACACUCUCUUUUUCCUCUCUCUCUCUCUCUCU